UAGUACUUGUGUAGGUAGGUACUGUACCUAACGAAUCCAAGUAGGACAAAAGAAGCACGAGGUGAGGGCUUACCCUGGUGAAGCAAUCCUAAAAAUAUCCAUAGCUUCUUUGCCCUGAAGAAUAUCUGGUCAUUCGUGGACUACCUACACGUGUCGCCAGGCCUUCCCUGCCGCGGCACCGAAUGGCCCAUCUCGCAUGCUGAAUGAUGAUAUUGCAUUGCUCACUGAUACGCAACAAACGAUUGUCACUGUAAAUAUUUCAAGAAUUUUCGGCCUUAUGAUUCACACGUACUAACUAUUUCAGCACCUCUUGGUUUUUACUCCAUACACCUCAUACAUUAACUACAACAGGAAAUCCUAACAAUAAAACAGUAUCUACUAAA